GAUGAACGCUGGCGGCGUGCCUAAUACAUGCCAGUCGAGCGAACGGACGAGAAGCUUGCUUCUCUGAUGUUAGCGGCGGACGGGUGAGUAACACGUGGAUAACCUACCUAUAAGACUGGGAUAACUUCGGGAAACCGGCGCUAAUACCGGAUAAUAUUUUGAACCGCAUGGUUCAAAAGUGAAAGACGGUCUUGCUGUCACUUAUAGAUGGAUCCGCGCUGCAUUAGCUAGUUGGUAAGGUAACGGCUUACCAAGGCAACGAUGCAUAGCCGACCUGAGAGGGGGAUAGGCCACACGGGAACUGAGACACGGUCCAGACUCCUACGGGAGGCAGCAGUAGGGAAUCUUCCGCAAUGGGCGAAAGCCUGACGGAGCAACGCCGCGUGAGUGAUGAAGGUCUUCGGAUCGUAAAACUCUGUUAUUAGGGAAGAACAUAUGUGUAAGUAACUGUGCACAUCUUGACGGUACCUAAUCAGAAAGCCACGGCUAACUACGUG
rnacentral:rRNA from 1 species